rnacentral:rRNA from 1 species
CUACGGGCUGCUGCAGUGAGGAAUAUUGGUCAAUGGAGGCAACUCUGAACCAGCCAUGCCGCGUGAAGGAUGACGGCCCUAUGGGUUGUAAACUUCUUUUGAAUAGGAAGAAACUUAUCUACGUGUAGAUAACUGACGGUACUAUUAGAAUAAGGAUCGGCUAACUCCGUUCCAGCAGCCGCGGUAAUACGGAGGAUCCAAGCGUUAUCCGGAUUCAUUGGGUUUAAAGGGUCCGUAGGCGGGUCUUUAAGUCAGUGGUGAAAGCCGACAGCUCAACUGUCGAACUGCCAUUGAUACUGGAGACCUUGAGUACAAAUGAAGUAGGCGGAAUGAGUCAUGUAGCGGUGAAAUGCAUAGAUAUGACUCAGAACACCGAUUGCGAAGGCAGCUUACUAACAUGUAACUGACGCUGAGGGACGAAAGCGUGGGGAGCGAACAGGAUUAGAUACCCUUGUAGUC